rnacentral:rRNA from 1 species
CAUGAGGGAAAGGUGAAAAGCACCCCGGGAGGGGAAUGAAAGAGAACCUGAAACCGUAUGUUUACAAGCAGUCGGAGACCGCUUAAUAAUAAGGUCGACGGCGUGCCUAUUGAAGAAUGAACCGGCGAGUUACGAAGCCUGGCAAGGUUAAGCAGGAAAUGCGGAGCCGAAGCGAAAGCGAGUCUUAAGAGGGCGCAAGUCAGGAAGCGUAGACCCGAAACCACAGUGAUCUACCCAUGUCCAGGUUGAAACACAGGUAAAAAUGUGUGGAGGACCGAACCUAUAUCCGUUGAAAAGGGUUAGGAUGAGGUGUGGGUAGGGGUGAAAUUCCAAUCGAACGUGGAGAUAGCUGGUUCUCCCCGAAAUAGCUUUAGGGCUAGCCUCAGGGAAAAGAUUGCAGGCGGUAGAGCACUGAUCAGGAGAGGGACCUACCCGGUUACCAAACCCAGUCAAACUCCGAAUGGCUGCAAUCAUACCUGGGAGUCAGACUGCGACUAAUAAGGGCCGUAGUCAAAAGGGAAACAGCCCAGACCAUCAGCUAAGGUCCCCAAUGCCGUGCUAAGUGGCGAAGGAUGUGGCAUUUCAUAAACAACCAGGAUGUUGGCUCAGAAGCAGCCACCAUUUAAAGAGUGCGUAAUAGCUCACUGGUCGAGAGACGCUGCGCCGAAAAUGUCCGGGGCUCAAGCACGGAACCGAAGCUAUGGCAUGAUAGCAAUAUCAUGGGUAGGGGAGCGUUCUUAUAAGGAAGAAGCAUGACCGGAAGGACAUGUGGACGAAUAAGAAGUGAGAAUGCCGGUAUGAGUAUCGAAAAGAAAGGUGAGAAUCCUUUCCACCGAAAGCCCGAGGGUUCCUGAGCAACGAUCGUCGACUCAGGGUAAGUCGGGACCUAAGCCGAGGCGAAAAGCGUAGGCGAUGGACAACAGGUUGAAAUUCCUGUACCGGAUCAAGUCGAUCGAGCGAAGGAGCGACGCAGGAGGGCACAUGAUCGCGCGGCUGGAAGAGCGCGUCCAAGUGCGUAUGUUGCUGCAGAGGCAAAUCCCUGCAGCAGAAAGCAGAGACAUGAUGGGGAGUUAAAGGAAACUUUGACGAACUCAUGGAUCCCACACUGCCAAGAAAAACUUCUAGCGAGACAAGAUCCGCCCGUACCGUAAACCGACACAGGUAGGCGGGGAGAGAAUCCUAAGGUGCGCGGGAAAACCCUCGUUAAGGAACUCGGCAAAUUGCAUCCGUAACCUAGGGAGAAGGAUGGCCCCCGGUCAGUGAAGAGCAGAAACGCUCAGAGCUAAAAGGGGCGGCAGAAAAGAGGCCCAAGCAACUGUUUACCAAAAACACAGGUGCCUGCGAAAGCGAAAGCUGAAGUAUAGGUGCUGACGCCUGCCCGGUGCCGGAAGGUUAAGGAGAGAAGUUAGCAAAAGCGAAGCAUCGAACUGAAGCCCCGGUGAACGGCGGCCGUAACUAUAACGGUCCUAAGGUAGCGAAAUUCCUUGUCGGGUAAGUUCCGACCCGCACGAAAGGCGUAACGACUUGCGCACUGUCUCAACGAGGGACCCGGUGAAAUUGAAGUACCUGUGAAGAUGCAGGUUACCCGCGACUGGACAGAAAGACCCCAUGGAGCUUCACUGCAGCUUGAGAUUGAAUCCCGGUGACAGAUGCACAGGAUAGGUGGGAGGCGCCGAAGCAUUGCCCUAGGGCGGUGCGGAGCCGAUGUUGGGAUACCACCCUUCUGUUGCUGAGAUUCUAACGCGAGGAGUAACGACCCUGCGGACCCUCUCAGGCAGGCGGUUUGACUGGGGCGGUCGCCUCCGAAAGAGUAACGGAGGCGCCCAAAGGU